GGGGAGGAAGGUGGAGUGUGUUACUGUUAAAUAUUUAGGAUAAGGUAAACACAAUUCAGAAACGCUUGCCCAGGAAUGAAAUGAUUUGCCAAAGCUUGCACAGCAUGGGAUGGGCAAGCCGAGAACCACAUCCCAUACAUUUUAUUUGUUUCCCUACUCAGUGCCCUCAUUUCCUCUCUUAGUAUCUGUCAGAAUUUAUAUAUACCAACUGCAAGUACAAGCAUUAUUUUCUAAAUCAAAGAAGUGAAAACUUUUAGAGAAGCUCAGAGGCUGUGCCUUGAUUAGCAUAGACAACUGGAUUAGAAUCAGUGGCGGUAUCUCUCUGAGCAAAACCUUCCAAUUUUAGUCUUGUUACUCCCUGGGGAGCACUUGCAAUUGUGGGUGCAUUAGGCUCCCUGGCUUCCUUUGGUCUCUUUAUUUGGAUCUCCUGUGUACGGUAUUAAAAUGACUCACUCCGUUCAUCGGCCAGUCUUUGUUCAUCAGAUCAGAUAUUUUUCACCUUUGUUUUUACCCAGUGCACAAGGGCGUCGUGUGGCCCGGGUUAGGAGUCCUCCGACAAAGGCUAAAUUUUAUUUUUCCCACCUUUCGAGAGUUGUGCUGCAGAGAUUUCCAAGAGGAAGAGAGUAAGGAAGAAGACCCUACUUAACAAGGAGGAAGAGUGGAUAUUUGGAGCAUGGAAAAGGAGGGAUAAAAAGUUACCGUGCCUUGCUGAUACGGUUUUCCAACGGCCUGUUUGCUUUCUGCUGCACAUUUUUUUGUUAUACUGACUUCUGAUACACAAAUAUUACACUAUCUGUUUACUGCUGUUACAGAGGUAUAAAGAACACUUGUUAUCACGGUUCUUUUUAUUCUGUACUUAGGCUUUCAUUUUAUUUUUAAAAUAAGUCCUUGAACAUGAAUGGUCAUGGAAAAUUUACUGUUGUAUAAUUGCACAUAAUCCCCAAACUUCAUCCAAAAACAAUUCCUGGGUAGCAGAGAACUGUCAUAUUCAAUUGUGUUUCUUCAUAACAACAACCUUUGUGGGGGAAAAAGCAAUUUCGCUUGCUUCAUUUUCAUACAGACUAGAAGUCCAAUUGUGCUUUUGUAAUUAAGUCCCCUCACAUCAAGAGAAAAGAGUAUGUCUAUGAAAUGUGCAUUGAACCCAAAUGGGAAAGUUAAUUCAAAAUAAAAAGCAGUGAUUAUCUCGUGUUUAUUAAUGA
rnacentral:lncRNA from 12 species